UUCACAUUGGAAAUGGCCUAUUUAUCUGUGCCAACAAGUGGACGUGGGUCAAUCAAGCAAAGACAGACAGCACAUUUGCCAGGGAGGUUGCCCGGUGCCUGUGGCAGCCACAUGAAUUGGUCGGCAGGAGUGUGACGGGCAAAAUUUGCAUGCGCAAACUGAAGGAAGGUGGCGAGGCAAAGCCAGCAUUAACACCAGAAAAACUUGGUGCAGUUCGAAAGUCAUACGAGCACUUUGUGGCGAAACAUACAAGCGCUGUGGACACGGAGGCCAGGAGGCUCAAGGACUUUAACAAGCACCUGGCCACCAUGCUGCGUGAUGCGAAAUAAAGAUGGUUUGUGCUGCGUG
rnacentral:lncRNA from 1 species